AGAGUUUGAUCCUGGCUCAGGACGAACGCUGGCGGCGUGCUUAACACAUGCAAGUCGAGCGAUGAAGCUUCCUUCGGGAAGUGGAUUAGCGGCGGACGGGUGAGUAACACGUGGGUAACCUGCCUCAAAGUGGGGGAUAGCCUUCCGAAAGGAAGAUUAAUACCGCAUAAUAUAAGAGAAUCGCAUGAUUUUCUUAUCAAAGAUUUAUUGCUUUGAGAUGGACCCGCGGCGCAUUAGCUAGUUGGUAAGGUAACGGCUUACCAAGGCAACGAUGCGUAGCCGACCUGAGAGGGUGAUCGGCCACAUUGGAACUGAGACACGGUCCAGACUCCUACGGGAGGCAGCAGUGGGGAAUAUUGCGCAAUGGGGGAAACCCUGACGCAGCAACGCCGCGUGGGUGAUGAAGGUCUUCGGAUUGUAAAGCCCUGUUUUCUAGGACGAUAAUGACGGUACUAGAGGAGGAAGCCACGGCUAACUACGUGCCAGCAGCCGCGGUAAUACGUAGGUGGCGAGCGUUGUCCGGAUUUACUGGGCGUAAAGGGUGCGUAGGCGGAUGUUUAAGUGGGAUGUGAAAUCCCCGGGCUUAACCUGGGGGCUGCAUUCCAAACUGGAUAUCUAGAGUGCAGGAGAGGAAAGCGGAAUUCCUAGUGUAGCGGUGAAAUGCGUAGAGAUUAGGAAGAA
rnacentral:rRNA from 1 species